rnacentral:rRNA from 1 species
CCUACGGGAGGCAGCAGUGGGGAAUAUUGGGCAAUGGGCGCAAGCCUGACCCAGCAACGCCGCGUGAAGGAAGAAGGCUUUCGGGUUGUAAACUUCUUUUGUCAGGGAAGAGUAGAAGACGGUACCUGACGAAUAAGCCACGGCUAACUACGUGCCAGCAGCCGCGGUAAUACGUAGGUGGCAAGCGUUGUCCGGAUUUACUGGGUGUAAAGGGCGUGUAGCCGGGUUGACAAGUCAGAUGUGAAAUCCUGCGGCUUAACCGGAGAACUGCAUUUGAAACUGUUGAUCUUGAGUACUGGAGAGGCAGACGGAAUUCCUAGUGUAGCGGUGAAAUGCGUAGAUAUUAGGAGGAACACCAGUGGCGAAGGCGGUCUGCUGGACAGUAACUGACGGUGAGGCGCGAAAGCGUGGGGAGCAAACAGGAUUAGAUACCCCAGUAGUC